rnacentral:rRNA from 1 species
GACGAACGCUGGCGGCGUGCUUAACACAUGCAAGUCGAACGGAAAGGCCCUGCUUGCAGGGUACUCGAGUGGCGAACGGGUGAGUAACACGUGGGUGAUCUGCCCUGCACUUCGGGAUAAGCCUGGGAAACUGGGUCUAAUACCGGAUAGGAGCCAUCUUUAGUGUGAUGGUUGGAAAGUUUUUUCGGUGUAGGAUGAGCUCGCGGGCUAUCAGCUUGUUGGUGGGGUAAUGGCCUACCAAGGCGGCGACGGGUAGCCGGCCUGAGAGGGUGGACGGCCACAUUGGGACUGAGAUACGGCCCAGACGCCUACGGGAGGCAGCAGUGGGGAAUAUUGCACAAUGGGCGCAAGCCUGAUGCAGCGACGCCGCGUGGGGGAUGACGGCCUUCGGGUUGUAAACUCCUUUCGCUAGGGACGAAGCUUUUUGUGACGGUACCUAGAGAAGAAGCACCGGCUAACUACGUG